GCAUAUCAAUAAGCGGAGGAAAAGAAACUAACAAGGAUUCCCCUAGUAACUGCGAGUGAAGCGGGAAAAGCUCAAAUUUAAAAUCUGGCGGUCUUUGGCCGUCCGAGUUGUAGUCUGGAGAAGUGCUUUCCGCGCUGGACCGUGUAUAAGUCUCCUGGAACGGAGCGUCAUAGAGGGUGAGAAUCCCGUCUUUGACACGGACUACCAGUGCUCUGUGAUGCGCUCUCAAAGAGUCGAGUUGUUUGGGAAUGCAGCUCAAAAUGGGUGGUGAAUUCCAUCUAAAGCUAAAUAUUGGCGAGAGACCGAUAGCGAACAAGUACCGUGAGGGAAAGAUGAAAAGCACUUUGGAAAGAGAGUUAAACAGUACGUGAAAUUGCUGAAAGGGAAACGCUUGAAGUCAGUCGCGUCAGCCGGAAAUCAGCCUUGCUUCCGCUUGGUGUACUUUCUGGUUGACGGGCCAGCAUCGAUUUUGACCGUUGGAAAAAGGCAGAGGGAAUGUGGCACCUUCGGGUGUGUUAUAGCCCUCUGUUGCAUACAACGGUUGGGAUCGAGGAACUCAGCACGCCUUCAUGGUCGGGGUUCGCCCACGUUCGUGCUUAGGAUGCUGGCGUAAUGGCUUUAAACGACCCGUCUUGAAACACGGACCAAGGAGUCUAACAUGCCUGCGAGUGUUUGGGUGGAAAACCCGAGCGCGUAAUGAAAGUGAAAGUCGGGACCUCUGUCAUGGAGGGCACCGACGCCCGGACCUGAAGUUCUCUGACGGAUCCGCGGUGGAGCAUGUAUGUUGGGACCCGAAAGAUGGUGAACUAUGCCUGAAUAGGGUGAAGCCAGAGGAAACUCUGGUGGAGGCUCGUAGCGAUUCUGACGUGCAAAUCGAUCGUCAAAUUUGGGUAUAGGGGGCGAAAGACUAAUCGAACCAUCUAGUAGCUGGUUCCUGCGA
rnacentral:rRNA from 1 species